rnacentral:rRNA from 1 species
CAGCAGCCGCGGGAAUACGUAGGUGGCAAGCGUUGUCCGGAAUUAUUGGGCGUAAAGGGCUCGCAGGCGGUUUCUUAAGUCUGAUGUGAAAGCCCCCGGCUCGACCGGGGAGGGUCAUUGGAAACUGGGAGACUUGAGUGCAGAAGAGGAGAGUGGAAUUCCACGUGUAGCGGUGAAAUGCGUAGAGAUGUGGAGGAACACCAGUGGCGAAGGCGACUCUCUGGUCUGUAACUGACGCUGAGGAGCGAAAGCGUGGGGAGCGAACAGGAUUAGAUACCCCGGUAGUCCCUGUCUCUUAUAC